rnacentral:rRNA from 1 species
GUGCACGCUGGCGGUAGGCCUAACACAUGCCAGUCGAACGGCAGCACAGUAAGAGCUUGCUCUUACGGGUGGCGAGUGGCGGACGGGUGAGGAAUACAUCGGAAUCUACUUUUUCGUGGGGGAUAACGUAGGGAAACUUACGCUAAUACCGCAUACGACCUACGGGUGAAAGCAGGGGAUCUUCGGACCUUGCGCGAUUGAAUGAGCCGAUGUCGGAUUAGCUAGUUGGCGGGGUAAAGGCCCACCAAGGCGACGAUCCGUAGCUGGUCUGAGAGGAUGAUCAGCCACACUGGAACUGAGACACGGUCCAGACUCCUACGGGAGGCAGCAGUGGGGAAUAUUGGACAAUGGGCGCAAGCCUGAUCCAGCCAUACCGCGUGGGUGAAGAAGGCCUUCGGGUUGUAAAGCCCUUUUGUUGGGAAAGAAAAGCAGCAGGUUAAUACCCCGCUGUUCUGACGGUACCCAAAGAAUAGGCACCGGCUAACUUCGUG